CCUUUUUCUCUUUCUCUUAAGCUAACUAUGACUUAGAGUAACAUGGCAAAAUUAUGCCUUUUUAAGUGAAAUUGAAGUAUUUUUCUUUUCUCCCCCUACUUGAUCCCUUCAGAAUUUGAAACUCUUAGUGAGUAAGAUGCAGACUCAGACAUGACAAGAUAGCUUUUGAGGAACAAAGAUUGACUUUAUAAAAUAAAGCCACAUGAAAAUAUUGGUCUAAUACCUUGCUUACAGGAUUCCUAGCAACCUUACCAGAAGCCCUGCAAACGGAAGCUGGACAACUUGAUAUGAAUUUAAGAGAGACUUAUGUCUGUUGCUUUGUAAGCCACUCAGAAAGAUACCUGAACAUCUGAUGACAUCCUCAAAGACAUUUAAAACUGCAAAAUACUUUGACUCUGACACUUAUAAAUGUUUUUGACUGGC